ensembl:snRNA U6 U6 spliceosomal RNA
GUGUUCCUUCUGGAGCAUAUGUACUAAAAUUGGAAUGAUAUAGAGAUCAGCAUGGCCCUUGUGCAAGGACGGCAUGCAGAUUUGUGAAGGGCCCCAUAUUUAA